CGCCUCCUGGGUUCAUGCCAUUCUCCUGCCUCAGCCUCCCAACUACUCAGGAGUCUGAGUGGGAGGAUCACCUAAGCCCAGGAAUUUGAGGCUACAGUGAGAUGUGAUCAUUCCACUGCACUCCAGCCUGGGAGACAGAGCAAGACCUUAUCUCUAAAAAUUAAAAAACAAAAAAACAAAAAAAAACCAAUUUAUGUUAGAAUAGAUUUUCUCAUUUUAGAGAUAUUUAUUAGAGAGAAGGAAAAGCAAGCAUUUAACAUUCCACCCUACUGUGCAGGAGUUUCAAAUCUCCUUCCCUAGAGAGGUAGAGAGAAGACCACAGGACCCAAACAAGUGCCCUUUCCCUUCUGCGCGGCCAGGGAGGGGUUCCCAGCAGGUGGGCGCUGCUUUUUCCAGGGCCUCUUCUUUUUAUUGUUAUGCCUGUAUAUUUCAAAAUCUAAAACCAGAUGUUACGUAGAAAACGUUUUGAUACAGGUG
rnacentral:antisense_RNA from 1 species